CCUACGGGAGGCAGCAGUAGGGAAUAUUGGACAAUGGGUGCGAGCCUGAUCCAGCCAUGCCGCGUGCAGGAAGAAGGCCUUCUGGGUUGUAAACUGCUUUUGCCGGGGGAUAAAAGACCCAUGCGUGGGGAAUUGAAGGUACCCGGUGAAUAAGCCACGGCUAACUACGUGCCAGCAGCCGCGGUAAUACGUAGGUGGCGAGCGUUGUCCGGAUUUAUUGGGUUUAAAGGGUGCGUAGGCGGCCCCGUAAGUCAGUGGUGAAAUACGGCAGCUCAACUGUCGAGGUGCCAUUGAUACUGCGGGGCUUGAGUACAGUCGAGGUAGGCGGAAUUGACGGUGUAGCGGUGAAAUGCUUAGAUAUCGUCAAGAACACCGAUAGCGAAGGCAGCUUGCUAGGCUGUAACUGACGCUGAGGCACGAAAGUGCGGGGAUCAAACAGGAUUAGAUACCCUGGUAGUCCGCACAGUAAACGAUGGUCACUCGGUGUUGGCGGUACACGGCCAGCGCCUUAGCGAAAGCGUUAAGUGACCCACCUGGGGAGUACGCCCGCAAGGGUGAAACGUUAAGGAAUUGACGG
rnacentral:rRNA from 1 species